GCUGAAUUUCUAUCUACUAAUUUUCAGGUGGAACAGUAUGGUUGCGGAGAGUCCAUUUGGACAUAGAUACACUUUCAUGCAUUCAUGUCUUUAACAAUAAUUUGUGGCCCUACUGUGUUUGUGCACUAACUCCUUGGAACCUACCACAUAAGCUAUAUCUGUAUUUUCCUUGUAAUUUGGGACGUCCAAUGCUUCAUUAAGCUCACAUGCCUGAAACUAAUAAAGAAAAUAGCUCGUUAACCAGCUAGUAUAAAAGUAGCCACCAAAUCAAGUCAAUCACCUGCCUUAAAUCAGCCCAGUACUCCCAUCUUGAGCGGAGAAGCCCAUUCUGAAUCACAGUCAAGACAUUGAUGGAAAAACAGCUCCCUCUGGGGAUCAAAACCACGCUCACUCCAAAUCCUCCUCCCCAGAGUUCUACUCAUUGCUCACCCACUGAACCCAGAACAAACCAGAAGUGCUUGAAAUGAGGACGGGUAGCUCCGUGUACCAAUCGGAAUUUAAAACUGUAUCAAUUCCUGCUGUAGAAAUGAAGCGUCUCCUCAGGACCAGCAUUCCACGAAGGCAGCCCUUUUCUGGAUGGAGAAAACAGAACCUGAAGACACCCGUUUCCCUAAACUGCUCCUGCUCAUGUUCUACAGGUAUAUCCAGCAGCUCCAGAAAGACAGCGACCAGCGAGAAGGGGCCAUGAUGAUGAUGGUGGUUUUGUCAAAACGAAAAGGGAGAUAUGUAGGGAAAAGAAAGAGAGAUCAGACUGUUACUGUGUCUACAUAGAAAGUGAAGACAUAAGAGACUCCAUUUUGAAAAAGACCUGUACUUUAAACAAUUGCUUUGCUGAGAUGUUGUUAAUCUGUAGAUUUGCCGCAGCCACUUUGCCCCAACCACUUCGACCCAACCUGGAGCUCACAAAAGCAUGUGUUGUAUGAAAUCAAGGUUUAAGGGAUGUAGGGCUGUGCAGGACGUGCCUUGUUAACAAAACGUUUGCAAGCAGUUUAUUUGGUAAAAGUCAUCGCCAUUCUCUAGUCUCAAUAAACCAGGGGCACAGUGCCCUGUGGAAAGCCACAGGGACCUCUGCCCUUGAAAGCUGGGUAUUGUCCAAGGUUUCUCCCAAUGUGAUAGUGUGAAAUAGGGCCUCGUGGGAUGAGAAAGACCUGACCGUCCUCCAGCCCAACACCCAUAAAGGGUCUGUGCUGAGGUGGAUUAGUCAAAGAGGAAAGCCUCUUGCAGUUGAGAAAGAUGAAGACCACUGUCUCCUGCCUGCCCCUGGGAACUGAAUGUCUCUAUAUAACACCCAAAUGUACAUUUGUUCAAUUCUGAGAUGGGAGAAACUGCCCUAUGGUGGGAAGCGAGACAUGUUUACGGCAAUGCUGCCUUGUUAUUCUUUACUCCACUGAGAUGUUUGGGUGGAGAGAAACAUAAAUCUGGCUUACGUGCCUGUCCAGUCACAGUACCUUCCCUUGAACUUCAUUAUGACAUAGAUUCUGUUGCUCACAUAUUUGUUGCCGACCUUCUCCUUAUUAUCACCCUGCC
rnacentral:lncRNA from 1 species